AGGCGCGUAGCUCAGUUGGUUAGAGCGCUACACUGACACUGUAGAGGUCAGCGGUUCGAAUCCGCUCGUGCCUACCA
rnacentral:tRNA from 1 species